rnacentral:rRNA from 1 species
CCUACGGGAGGCAGCAGUGGGGAAUUUUGGACAAUGGGCGCAAGCCUGAUCCAGCAAUGCCGCGUGAGUGAAGAAGGCCUUCGGGUUGUAAAGCUCUUUUGUCAGGGAAGAAACGGUUCGGGUUAAUACCUUGGGCUAAUGACGGUACCUGAAGAAUAAGCACCGGCUAACUACGUGCCAGCAGCCGCGGUAAUACGUAGGGUGCAAGCGUUAAUCGGAAUUACUGGGCGUAAAGCGUGCGCAGGCGGUUGUGCAAGACAGAUGUGAAAUCCCCGGGCUCAACCUGGGAAUUGCAUUUGUGACUGUACGGCUAGAGUGUGUCAGAGGGGGGUAGAAUUCCACGUGUAGCAGUGAAAUGCGUAGAGAUGUGGAGGAAUACCGAUGGCGAAGGCAGCCCCCUGGGAUAACACUGACGCUCAUGCACGAAAGCGUGGGGAGCAAACAGGAUUAGAUACCCUGGUAGUCCACGCCCUAAACGAUGUCUACUAGUUGUCGGGUCUUUAUUGACUUGGUAACGCAGCUAACGCGUGAAGUAGACCGCCUGGGGAGUACGGUCGCAAGAUUAAAAACUCAAAAGGAAUUGACGG